AUUGAACGCUGGCGGCAGGCUUAACACAUGCAAGUCGAACGAUGAUUAUCUAGCUUGCUAGAUAUGAUUAGUGGCGGACGGGUGAGUAACAUUUAGGAAUCUGCCUAGUAGUGGGGGAUAGCUCGGGGAAACUCGAAUUAAUACCGCAUACGACCUACGGGUGAAAGGGGGCGCAAGCUCUUGCUAUUAGAUGAGCCUAAAUCAGAUUAGCUAGUUGGUGGGGUAAAGGCCCACCAAGGCGACGAUCUGUAACUGGUCUGAGAGGAUGAUCAGUCACACCGGAACUGAGACACGGUCCGGACUCCUACGGGAGGCAGCAGUGGGGAAUAUUGGACAAUGGGGGCAACCCUGAUCCAGCCAUGCCGCGUGUGUGAAGAAGGCCUUUUGGUUGUAAAGCACUUUAAGCAGGGAGGAGAGGCUAAUGGUUAAUACCCAUUAGAUUAGACGUUACCUGCAGAAUAAGCACCGGCUAACUCUGUGCCAGCAGCCGCGGUAAUACAGAGGGUGCGAGCGUUAAUCGGAAUUACUGGGCGUAAAGCGAGUGUAGGUGGCUCAUUAAGUCACAUGUGAAAUCCCCGGGCUUAACCUGGGAACUGCAUGUGAUACUGGUGGUGCUAGAAUAUGUGAGAGGGAAGUAGAAUUCCAGGUGUAGCGGUGAAAUGCGUAGAGAUCUGGAGGAAUACCGAUGGCGAAGGCAGCUUCCUGGCAUAAUAUUGACACUGAGAUUCGAAAGCGUGGGUAGCAAACAGGAUUAGAUACCCUGGUAGUCCACGCCGUAAACGAUGUCUACUAGCCGUUGGGGUCCUUGAGACUUUAGUGGCGCAGUUAACGCGAUAAGUAGACCGCCUGGGGAGUACGGCCGCAAGGUUAAAACUCGAAUGAAUUGACGGGGGCCCGCACAAGCGGUGGAGCAUGUGGUUUAAUUCGAUGCAACGCGAAGAACCUUACCUGGUCUUGACAUAGUGAGAAUCCUGCAGAGAUGCGGGAGUGCCUUCGGGAAUUCACAUACAGGUGCUGCAUGGCUGUCGUCAGCUCGUGUCGUGAGAUGUUGGGUUAAGUCCCGCAACGAGCGCAACCCUUUUCCUUAUUUGCCAGCGGGUUAAGCCGGGAACUUUAAGGAUACUGCCAGUGACAAACUGGAGGAAGGCGGGGACGACGUCAAGUCAUCAUGGCCCUUACGACCAGGGCUACACACGUGCUACAAUGGUAGGUACAGAGGGUUGCUACACAGCGAUGUGAUGCUAAUCUCAAAAAGCCUAUCGUAGUCCGGAUUGGAGUCUGCAACUCGACUCCAUGAAGUCGGAAUCGCUAGUAAUCGCAGAUCAGAAUGCUGCGGUGAAUACGUUCCCGGGCCU
rnacentral:rRNA from 1 species